rnacentral:rRNA from 1 species
UACGAAGGGGGCUAGCGUUGCUCGGAAUCACUGGGCGUAAAGGGUGCGUAGGCGGGUCUUUAAGUCAGGGGUGAAAUCCUGGAGCUCAACUCCAGAACUGCCUUUGAUACUGGCUAUCUUGAGUUCGGGAGAGGUGAGUGGAACUCCGAGUGUAGAGGUGAAAUUCGUAGAUAUUCGGAAGAACACCAGUGGCGAAGGCGACUCACUGGCCCGAUACUGACGCUGAGGCGCGAAAGCGUGGGGAGCAAACAGG